rnacentral:rRNA from 1 species
GACGAACGCUGGCGGCGUGCCUAAUACAUGCAAGUAGAACGCUGAAGCGAGGAGCUUACUCUUCUUGGAUGAGUUGCGAACGGGUGAGUAACGCGUAGGUAACCUGCCUUGUAGCGGGGGAUAACUAUUGGAAACGAUAGCUAAUACCGCAUAACAAUGGAUGACACAUGUCAUUUAUUUGAAAGGGGCAAUUGCUCCACUACAAGAUGGACCUGCGUUGUAUUAGCUAGUAGGUGAGGUAAUGGCUCACCUAGGCGACGAUACAUAGCCGACCUGAGAGGGUGAUCGGCCACACUGGGACUGAGACACGGCCCAGACUCCUACGGGAGGCAGCAGUAGGGAAUCUUCGGCAAUGGGGGCAACCCUGACCGAGCAACGCCGCGUGAGUGAAGAAGGUUGUCGGAUCGUAAAGCUCUGUUGUAAGUCAAGAACGGGUGUGAGAGUGGAAAGUUCACACUGUGACGGUAGCUUACCAGAAAGGGACGGCUAACUACGUG